CUUCUCUAAAGCCCUUAUAGGGAAGGUACUAUUAUUAUUCCUGUUUUUCAAUUAAGGAUACUGAGGCACUGUGAGGUUCACUGAAAGCUGGACUGUGAGGAAGAUUCGGGCCGUCGGACUCCAGACCCCAAGCUCUAACAUACUAUGAGGGCAUCCCAGGAGAAGGCAGAGUCCAGGAGGCGGAUGUUGGGAAGCAAAUCCUGAACUCAUCAAGUCCCAUAGCCCCUUUGUCUAUGGACCUUCUGCCAGCAUCUUCUGUAAGUUUCUUCAAUCAACCCUUAUUUUUCUUUGCUGUGAGGACCAGGAAGGAACCAAUCUGUUUAAAAACUGUUGCCCGCUGGUGGCUCGUUGCCAGGUCUGAGAUAACACUGGUGGUCCCUCUGAGGGCUGAGGACGCAUUCCCCGGGUACUGCAAUCAGAGCAGACGCAUGUGCAGCUGUGGAUGGAGGGAGCUGACGUGUUCUCUCCGGGAGCAGAGGAGCAAAUGUCACGAGAAAAGCCCUUGAAAAUGGUUCUCAUCCCUUUCUCCAUCGCAGACAACCCAGAAUAAACUGUUCUGAAAUGUUGACGUUUAAUAAUAUUAAUAUUAGUAAUGGCUGGAAAGGGCUUCUGGUAAUGAGAUUCCAGGAUAAAUAGGUCACUGGGUUUUCAUUGCUUAUCAAUGAAGUUCCCAAAAAGAUCUUUUUUAAGGAAAUAGGCUCAUGUAAACUUUUUUUUUUUUAAAAAAAGGAAGGAAAUACAUUGUCUUUAUAAUAAGGCAAUGCAAGAGGGAUUUUUGUUGAUUUGUUUUGAGGAACUAUUUAUAAAAUGAUGAAGAUUUUAAAAAAUAAAAAAGGCUGAGCAUGGUGGCUUAUGAAUGUAAUCCCAGCACUUUGAGAGGCCAAGGCAGGAGAAUCGCUUGAGCCCAGAAGUUCAAGAUCAGGCUAGGCAACAUAGUGAGACCUUGUCUCUAAGAAAAAUGAAAAAAAAAAAAAAAAUUAGCCAGGCAUGGUGGCACACACCUGUGGUCCCAGCUACUCGGGAGACUGAGGUGGGAGAAUGGCUUGAGCCCAGGAAGUUGGGGCUGCAGUGAGCCUGUGAUUGCACCACUACACUCCAGCCUGGGUGACAGAGCAAGACCCUGUCUCAAAAAAAAUAAAAAUAAUUUAAAAAGAAAACAAAAUUGAGAAUCCUCUGCUGGUCCCUGUUAUGUCUUACUCAGAAAGUGACAUAGGUGAAUUUUAUCUUAGGAAAAUGUACUGCUACUGUGUUUCCAGCUGUAUCAGUGCAUUCUUACCUUCCCUAAAUUAAAAGCCCAUCACUGCUAGCUCCUAAGGACUCCUUUCAGUACCGCCUUUUCAAUGCCACUUGAGCAUCAUGGUUCUAACAGUUAAGUUUGGCCUGCUUUGCGCUGUAAAACUUGCCUGCAAAUAGCUUGGUGGUCUGCCCUGGAUUUGCCAGGAGCCUGUUUUUUGAAAGGGGCUUAAGGCACAAGGCUGCUGAGUUUGGAAUCAUUUUGCCAACCCUGGCAGCCUCUGUGACUCUAUGAUUUCUUUAAUGUUCCCGUCUUUCUCAUUUCCCUAAAUAAACUGAAGCCUUUACUGGAAGGUCAAGUAAAUGUUACUGUGAAUCACUACUAGUAGAGGCUCCAGAAAAGGGAAUCCUGGUUGCUCUCAAAUAAUCUUGAAAUUUCACUCUUUUAAUUAUUUUUAAGCCCCUGUUCUUAAAAAAAACUGUAGAAACAUAUGUAACAUAUAUAAACCAAAAUGUCUACUGAUUUUCAGGCUAACUGAAGACUAACUAGAAAUAAGUUUAUUGCCCCAAUGCUGUUGUUCAGAAGCUUUCUGAUAUGUUCAUUCACCUUCCUGCCUUAUUAAUCAGAGUAAACAUGAUGAACUGUAUAUUUCUAUGUAACAUCAUAUACCAUACUAAUUUUCACUUGCGUUCUUAAUAUAAUUUAUCUUUUUGGGAAUUGGGCAUUGAACUACAUUAAGUAGUUUCAGUAUCUCCCCUUGAAUAUGUUGAGGGAAUCUUUUGAAAUCAACUUUGUACUGUCAUUUCAUUUUCUUUUCGUAUACAGCUAAGAUUUAUUGAGUGCUUACUGUGAGCCAGACAAUGUGAUAAGUGUUUUAAGUGAAUGAUCUAUUUUAAUGCUUUUUAAAAAUCAACACUGACUUAGUAAUAGUGUUUUCCCUUUAUUAAAGAUGAAGAAACUGAGUUCAGAAAAGUGAACUGACUUACCAAGGUUACUCAACCAGUAAGUGUUGAAAUCAUAACUAAACUGUAGCUGUGUUUGACCACACAGCCUUGCUUACAACUCACAAAAGACUUGAGUUCCAUUCCCAGCUUUGAACUUUAUAGACCAAGUAAUUCUUGACCUCCCCAGGCAUCUUCAUCCUUAUUUAUAAAAUGAAGGUAAUAGUGCCUCCCUUCCAAAGUUGGGGUACUAAGACUUGUGAGAAAUUACUUCCAAACUCUAAAAUGCUAAAUACACGUAAUGUUAUUGCUUUUACAUGUUUAUUAGCUAGCGAUGUCUUUAGUUAAUUGCAUUAGCUAAAUUAACAUAUUAUGCUUAGAUUAUAGGUGGGAAGCCUCACUAUUAGCUAGCGA
rnacentral:lncRNA from 1 species